rnacentral:rRNA from 1 species
GUUAGGGUGGCAAGCGUUGUCCGGAAUUAUUGGGCGUAAAGCGCGCGCAGGGCGGUCCUUUAAGUCUGAUGUGAAAGCCCACGGCUCAACCGUGGAGGGUCAUUGGAAACUGGGGGGACUUGAGUACAGAAGAGGAAAGCGGAAUUCCAAGUGUAGCGGUGAAAUGCGUAGAGAUUUGGAGGAACACCAGUGGCGAAGGCGGCUUUCUGGUCUGUAACUGACGCUGAGGCGCGAAAGCGUGGGGAGCAAACAGGAUUAGAUACCCUGGUAGUCCACGCCGUAAACGAUGAGUGCUAAGUGUUAGGGGGUUUCCGCCCCUUAGUGCUGCAGCUAACGCAUUAAGCACUCCGCCUGGGGAGUACGGCCGCAAGGCUG